rnacentral:lncRNA from 1 species
UCUAAUAGAGCCUCCCAGGAGACAGCUAUAUCAGGCUCUUGUCAGCAUGCACUUCUUGGCAUCCACAAUAGUGUCUGUGUUUGGUGACUGUAUAUGGGAUGGAUCCCUAGGUGGGACAGUCUCUGGGUGGCCUUUCCUUCAGUCUCUGCUCCACACUUUGACUCCAUAUUUGCUCCUGUGAAUAUUUUGUUACCCCUUCAAAGUGUACGUGCUUUGGUCUUCCUUCUUCUUGAGCUUCACAUGGUCUGUGAAUUGUAUCUUGGGUAUUCCGAGCUUUUGGGCUAAUAUUCACUUAUCAGUGAGUGCAUACCAUGUGUGUUCUUUUGUGAUUGGGUUACCUCAUUCACGAUGAUAUUUUCUAGUUCCAUCCAUUAACAGAGAGUUGUUGAGGGAGAUACUGGAGCAGAUAUGAUACUUAGUGGUAAUGUUAGAAGUGAUAGAAUAAUGUUAGAAAAAGUGAUAGACUUAUGUAAUGUUCUUAGGCUUCAAACCUUAGAGGGUGGGAGCACUGCUUUUGUGUAUACUCUCAUGUCUUCUCUUGUCUGUGCAUUCUUGAUGCUUUGUCUGUCUGUGCAGCACAAAUACACAAACAUGAAAAAAGUACUGUGAUAUGAAAGAUCCAGUUUUAAAACUUCGUCAAGUGAGCUCCAGGACAGCCAGAGCUAUACAGAGAGACCCUGUCUCAAAAAAAAAAUAAAUAAAUAAAUAAAAAAUAAAACUUCGUCAAAAUUGAAGCACCAGAGAUGAACAAGAUUUAAAUAUCGCACAGUGCAGGCCUACAAGAAAUAUAGGCAACAAGUUUUUGUAUCUCUUCUUAUCCUUUAAUGCAAGGAAUAUUUUCUCUAUUUGAGAUUGUACCAGGUAUAAAGGCCAGGAAAUUGGAUUGCUCUAGUUGAUUGCUGUGUUAAUGAUUGCUUGAGUUUCAGGUUUUCCUACUUUUUACUAUCUGUGUUAUUCUGGACAGGUUAUUUAAAUUCACUGCACAUCACUCAUUUGUAAAAAGGGAUUGGUGUUAGCUAUUUUAUGAAGUUGUUAAAAGGAUUAAAUGGAAUGGUCGGUGUCUGAUAUGCACUGUUCUGUGAGUGUCUUUAGAAUUCAUCUUAGAAGUUUGUGUCUAAUCAAAUAGAAACAAAUGAAUGCAUUUGCAAGAGAUGCUGCCAUAUAAAUCUAAUGAGAAUUUUUGCUCUUUUACUAAUUAAUAAAUAUUUUUCCUUUCGAUCUAUAACAAAUGUUAGUAACAUCAAUUUCCCUUCCCUUGCAAUUAUUCAUUACUUUCUUGAAAAAGCACAUCUCUUCCUAUGAAACAAUGAUUUAAAAGUUUUCCUUUUUGCAUAAAGCAAUGUUUUAUGCAUGAUAGCUGUGCUGUACUUAGUUAAAUAUAAUCAAAAUUUGGAAAAUCAUUUUCCUUAGCACAAUACAUAGAACAGACAAUUAAGUAAUACUGAGAGUUGCAAAAAAUUCUUCCCUUGGGAAGAGCAACUGGCUGCCCAAUACCUGAUGGUCAUCACUGAAGAAAUACAUAUGAGGAAUAUUACAGAGACUUGAGAAGGUUGUUUUUAGGAAUGCAUAUAUGUGCUCAUAACAGUUAAUGAAAAAAGAGGCCAUGAGUUUGAAAGAGCAAGAAGAUGCAUAUGUAAGAGUUUG